rnacentral:rRNA from 1 species
GAUGAACGCUGGCGGCGUGCCUAACACAUGCAAGUCGAACGGACAUAAUUUGAAACCUAGUGAGAAUUAUGUUAGUGGCGGACGGGUGAGUAACGCGUGGGUAACCUGCCCCAUACCGGGGGAUACCAGCCGGAAACGGCUGCUAAUACCGCAUAAGCGCACAGCUUUGCAUGAAGCAGUGUGAAAAACUCCGGUGGUAUGGGAUGGACCCGCGUCCGAUUAGCCAGUUGGCGGGGUAGAGGCCCACCAAAGCGACGAUCGGUAGCCGGCCUGAGAGGGCGGACGGCCACAUUGGGACUGAGACACGGCCCAA